GGCAUUUAAAUAUGUUGAUCUUGUGAAGAAAAAAAAAUUGUUUCAGACUGUAUCUCUGCCACUGCCAUCAACUAAGCCUUAAAAUUUCUCAAAUCAAGAGAUUUACAAGGUUAAAGACUCAAAGUAACUAACAAAUAAUGAUCAUAGAAAACGCCACCAAAACUCAAUCUUAAAAUAGCAACUAACUUUGGACUUUGGAGAUUUCAAAUUGGUGUGGAUUUAACUUAUGGUUGAAGUUGAUGUUCAUAAUUGUUAUACGAAGGUUUGAUGAUUAUAUAUUUUUUGUUUAAAAUUUUAAAGUUUAAAGUGACAGUAUAAGUUGACUAAUAAUGCUAAUCAUGUGGUUCCUUUAGAGUUGUAAUUAUUUUCGUUCAUAACAGUUUUUUGUCAUACACAACUAUUAAUGCAUUAUAUAGUUGUACAAUACAACAUUUUAAAACACCAAUUGUUGUGUACGGGGAAAAUUGUU